GGUGACCUCGGCACCACCCACUUCAGCCGCACGCUGAUGAGGUCACGGCCCCUGACAUCACCCAGGUCCAGUGCUUUAUCUGAAAAGCACUGGAGACUCUUAAUGGAACCUGCUCAAUACUCUCCGUCAUCACACUCAGGCGGCUACAGUGUCAGAGUCAGGCCUCCUGACACGGGACAGAGCCGUAAUGACCAGAAAAUGGGUCCCACCAGCAUGAGCUCUCCGCUCUGUCCUCUACCCUCCUAUAAAUACCCCACAUACACUCCUAGCAAGUAAGCAUACACUGUUCAUUUGCUCAUACUCUAGCAUAUUUCUCGUUCUCAUACUAACUUGAUCGUCGGAGUGAUCCCAGGGGAGAAACCCCGCCAUUCACUUCGGACAAGGAGGUUGACUUCGGAUCCAGGAGUUCACCUCACCUCAUCUCAGAGAGGACUGAUUCAGGUCGGUUCAGCUACCAACCAAAAAUCGCCUCUUCAAUUGGCGCCGUCUGUGGGAAAGAGAUAGCUAUUAAAAUGAGAUCCACGCGCUCCAGAAGCGGAAGAGUUCCCUCAACUGGGGCUGGGCAGACCUCGGGUGCCCAGCAAGACCGCAUAUCUGAAGAGCCAGGGUCCCAAAGGACCCAGCCCAACAAUGAGGACGCCAUCGCCAAGAUGGCCGAGUUUGUAUCAGACAACCCUAACAUUUUUGAGGAGCUAGGAAGGUACCUCAAAAGGCAGGGAAAAGAAAAAGCCGAGUCUUCCAAGAGGAGACCGACGAAGUCCCCUGAAGUGCCCUCAGGCGAGGACUCCGAAGAUGGGCGUCUAUCUCGGAGCACCUCCAGGCGAGUCUCAUCCAAGGCAACCUCCAAGAUUGCCUCCAUCUCCCGAGCGUUUUCUCGGGGACUACUGGGAAAACGAGCCGAGGACCCACCUCGGCGUCCCGGAGGCCUAGCUUCUGAUUACAUGAGGGCUCCGCCCUUCACUGAUGACAUCAACGGGGAAAUGGUGCCCCCGAACUUUAAGCUUCCAAAUUUGCACACCUAUGACGGUCGAGGUGACCCCGAGGAUCACCUCCGCGCCUUCAUCUCCGCAUUCCGACUCUACUGCGUCCCCGACGCCGUGAUCUGUCGGGCUUUCCCCAUCUUCCUGCACGGGACCGCCCGGAAGUGGUUCUGGAGUUUAGAACCGGGGAGCAUUACCUCUCUGGAUGAGCUGAUAGACCGGUUCAUCCACCGCUUUGUGUCGUCUCGACCAAUAACGAAAACUUCAGCUUACCUCUUGAACCUGCAACAGGGUCAGGGCGAGUCACUUCGCUCGUACGCCCAAAGGUUCAACGAGGAGAAUGUACAGAUACCUGACCAGAACGAGCAAGUAACUAUUGCUGCCUUCACCAACGGGUUAGUAGCAGGGAUCUUUAACACCGAAAUCCAUCGGCAGUACCCCCGUACACUCCGGGAGCUCUGGGAAAGAGUGGACCAGGGAAUCCGAAGUGAAGAUGUAAAUCGCAUGAAGCGAGAAGCCCAAGCAUCUCGUACGGGGCAAGAUCUCCGGAGGAGGAAAGACACUGGCCGAGGUGAACCAGGCCCAAGUGGCACUUCAAACCAACCCCGAGACCGCCGAAGUGUCUUCGACCGAAUCGUGAAAGGCAGAUCGUCCACCUCGGACGCCGAGCUGACGCCCCUCAAUUCGAGCCGGACCCACGUCCUGGCUGUGAUGAGGCAGAAUCACCUCGGCCGCAACCCUCCCGAAAUUCCGGGGAGGAGAGAUAAGAGGAACUCGAACCUCUACUGUGCCUACCACCGUGAUGUAGGGCACGAGACUGAAGACUGCAAUGACCUGAAGCGGGAAAUCGAAAAUUUGAUCCGGCAGGGAUACCUGAAGCAAUUCGUCCGCAAGGAUGGAGGCUUCAACCGAAGCGUCUCCCACCGGGAGAACCGAGGCCCCCGCCGAGACGACCGACGGGACACGAACAUGCAUUGCCGAGGUCCCGAAGACCGUAGGGAGGACAAGCAGCCCCCGCGCGAUGGCUCACCGGGCUACGGCCCCAACAUCGCCGGGGUGAUCAACACCAUCGCGGGAGGACCAACGGGAGGAGACAGCCAGAACUCCCGGAAGCGGACCUACCGCCAGGCCGAGAUGGAGGUGGCCGAGCCGAGCUCUCGGCUGUCUGAGGUCAUCACCUACGGUCCCGCUGACCCCGUUCCUGCGGCCUCCAGCAAUCAUGAAGCUCUUGUGAUCGAAGUCCUCACCAACAACUACGUAGUCAAAAAGGUCUACGUAGACCCCGGAAGCUCGGUAGACGUCCUGUACUACCGGACUUUCGAAAGUUUGAAACUGACCAGGGAGCAACUCACUCCUGUCAGGACUCCCCUCGUGGGAUUCGGGGGACACGUCGUCCACCCGGAAGGCAUGUUGACCCUGGUGGUGACAAUCGGGCGUCAUCCACGCUGCCGAACUGUGCCUGUCAGUUUUGCGGUGGUCAAAGCAGACUCCCCCUACAAUAUGCUGAUAGGCCGGCCCACGCUCAAUGCCUUGAGAGCCGUAUACUCCACCUACCACCUGAGCUUUAAAUUCCCAACAUCUGCGGGGGUGGCCGAGGUAAGCAGCGAUGUGGGCGCCGCCCGGGAGUGCUACCUCGCCACCAUUCAAGCAGCAGUCACCCCCCGGCCCUCACCGAGGUCAGAAGAAAAGAGGCCAGCGGUCCUCUCCAUAGACUGCAUCGACCCUCAGAAGGCAGAAGAGCCCAACAGGCUGGAGCCCGGGGAUGAGGUGGAACUGGUGGUCGUGGAUGAAGCGAAACCUGACCAAGUGGUCCAAGUAGGGGCGGGACUCCCCCCACCCCUGAAAGAAGAAAUGAUCUCCCUGAUCAAAGACCACCGAGACGUCUUCGCGUGGUCCGCGGAUGAAGUGGUCGGAGUGCCACCCGAGCUCAUGACUCACCAACUCAACGUUGACCCGCAGGCCCGACCUGUGCGACAGAAACGAAGGCACUUCGGCCCCGAACGUAGCCAAGCCAUAUCGGAUGAGGUCGACAAGCUCUUGCCGGCCAAGAUGAUCCACGAGGUCCAAUACCCCACCUGGCUGUCCAAUCCAGUCAUGGUAAAAAAGGACACCGGGGGAUGGAGAAUGUGUGUCGACUUCACCGACCUCAACAAGGCCUGCCCCAAAGAUUGCUAUCCUCUGCCAAGGAUAGACGCCCUCGUCGACGCGGCGAUGGGGUAUGAAAUCCUCUGCUUCCUAGAUGCCUUCAAAGGGUAUCAUCAAAUAGGAAUGAGUGAGGAGGACCGAGAGAAAACGGCGUUCUACACCGACCGAGGUACUUAUUGUUACACUACCAUGCCCUUCGGGCUAAAGAACGCCGGGGCGACCUACCAAAGGCUGAUCAACCGACUCUUCCAGAAUCAGAUCGGCCGCAAUGUGGAGGCCUAUGUGGAUGACAUCCUCGUUAAAAGCCUCGCCACUUCAUCCUUUCUGUCAGACGUGAGGGAAGUCUUUGGUGUCCUGCGAGACUCGAGGAUGAAGCUGAAUCCCAAGAAGUGCGUCUUCGGCGUCACCUCGGGAAAAUUCUUGGGGUAUCUGGUUUCCCACCGGGGAAUCGAGGCCAACCCCGACAAGGUGAAAGCCAUUCAGGACAUGUCUCCACCUCGGAACAUCCGAGAAGUCCAACGGCUAAAUGGACGCCUGGCCGCGCUGAAUCGCUUCCUGUCCCAAUCAGCUGAGAAAGCUCUGCCUUUCUUUAAGGUGCUGAAAAAUGCUGACCAGUUCGCCUGGACUGAGGAGUGUCAGGCUGCUUUCGACCAGCUGAAGCAGUACUUGCAUCACCUACCAACUCUCGCUUCACCUCGGCCCGAGGAGAAGCUCUACCUCUACCUCUCCGCAGCCGACGAGGCUGUCAGCGCUGUGCUCAUCCGAGAUGAGGGCACCCAAGUGCCGGUCUACUACGUCAGCCGAGCCCUCCGCGGGCCGGAGACCCGAUACACGCAAGUGGAAAAACUUGUGCUGGGGCUCGUCCACGCAGCUCGGCGGUUGAAACCCUACUUCUUAGCCCAUCCCAUCUCGGUCAGGACCGACCAGCCCAUUCGGCAAAUAUUGGUGCGACCCGAAGCUUCUGGUCGCCUCACCAAGUGGGCUGUCGAAUUGGGAGAAUAUGACUUGUCCUACGAGCCACGCACCGCCAUAAAAGCUCAAGCUUUAGCUGACUUCCUUGCUGAACUCACCUUCACGGAAGGUCCGGAGUCCACUUCAGCCUUACCCGAGGUGUCCACCUCAUCCCUGUGGACAUUGUAUGUCGAUGGAUCCUCUAAUGGAGAAGGCUGCGGAGCCGGACUGCUCCUGGAAGGACCUCAGGGGGAGGUUUGCUCUUACGCCCUCCGCUUUGACUUCCCGGCCACCAACAAUGAAGCCGAGUACGAGGCUCUAAUCGCUGGACUCCAGCUAGCCCGCAACCUCGGCGCCCAGCAAAUCCACGUCCGCAGUGACUCCCAACUCGUGGUACGCCAAGUUAUUGGUGAGUACGAGGCCAAGGAUGAGACCAUGCAACGGUACCUCUCCAAAGUUCACCAACUCACCGCGUACUUCAAGUCAUUCGAAAUCCAAAGGAUCCCUCGGUCCCAGAAUAAGCGAGCCGACGCCUUAUCCCGGCUGGCUUCCACUUCAUUCUCUGACCUCAACAAAACCGUCUUGGUGGAGGUCCUGAGUGAACCAGGGUACGUGGAAGAGGUGGCCUACCCCGUGCACUCUGAAGAAACUUGGAUGACCCCGUUCAUCCUUUUCUUGGGUCAAGGAGUCCUUCCCGAAGACCGAGCUGAAGCAAGGAAGAUACAACGCAAAGCCGCUCGGUAUGCACUCCGCGAUGGAGAACUAUAUAAGCGCUCCUACCUCGGCCCAUGGUUGAGGUGUGUCACCCCCGAGGCAGGACGCGAGGCCCUCCACGAGAUCCAUGAGGGCCUAUGUGGGGCUCACAUCGGCCACAGGAUGCUAGCUAAGAAAGCUAUGCUCCUGGGAUAUUUCUGGCCAUCACUUCGGCAAGACUCCCAGGACCUCGUUCUCGGCUGCCCUUCCUGCCAAGUCCACGCACCCGAGCGCCACCAGCCUUCAAACUUCAUGGUCCCCAUCACUUCACCCUGGCCGUUUGAGCAAUGGGGGACAGACAUCAUAGGUCCCUUCCCCAAAGCCGUCGGGGGUUAUACAUUCUUAGUAACCGCUGUGGAUUACUUCACCAAGUGGGUCGAGGCCGAGCCACUUCGGACCAUCUCAGGGCUGGCCAUUCAAAAAUUCUUUUGGAAGUGCAUUAUCUGCCGCUUCGGCAUACCGCGGGUCAUCAUCUCGGACAAUGGGAGACAGUUUGCCGAGAACCCGUUCAAGACUUGGUGCGAGAACCUCGGCAUCAAACAACACUUCACUUCGGUAGGCCACCCCCAGGCCAAUGGUCAAGCAGAAAACUUCAACCGGACUCUUCUACAUGGUCUCAGGACCCGACUACACCGAGCUGGGUCGUCUUGGGUGGAGGAACUCCCCAGUGUCCUGUGGUCGUAUCGGACCACGCCGAGGUCAGCGACGCAAGAGACCCCAUUCUCCCUGACCUACGGCGCCGAGGCAGUCAUCCCGGCUGAGAUCCUUACCCCCAGCCCUCGGCUGGCAGCCUAUGCCGCCGAGGUGAACGACGAAGAGAGGCAGCUGGACCUCGACCUCGUCGAAGAACGAAGGAACCUCGCCUCAGCCCGGAUAGCUUCUUACAAGAACACACUGGCACACUACUACAAUGCCCGCGUGAGACAUCGUAGAUUCCAACCUGGAGACUUGGUUCUUAGAAAAAACUCAGUCAGCCGAGCUGAACCGCAAGGGAAAUUAUGCCCGAAAUGGGAAGGCCCUUACCGAGUUGUGGAAUCUGACCCUAAGGGGUAUUGUAAACUGAGUUACCGAGAUGGCUCAUUAGUGCCGAGGUCGUGGCACGCCGAGAACCUCAGAUUGUAUUACGCCUGAAUUUUUAAUCAAGUAAUGACUUCAGCUAUUAUGUUAUUCUUCAAUAUCGUUGUUACGCUAUUAAAAAAUAAGGGGGACAAGCAAGGGAUGAAGUCAAAGCAAGAAAUUAAAGCACUGAGACGAGAAGAAAUAUGCUUUCAUUCAAUAAGAAAGAGCGUUACAAAAGUACAAGGCCGAGGUCCGAAUGCUACUAAGCACUCUCCACCUCGGCCACCCCCUUAAAACCGCGAAGCCUAGACCCCCGUCUCGGCUCCAUCCCCGGUCUUGGCUCCCUCCUGGGCAUCCUUCUCUUCGGCCUCUUUUCCGCCGGGGUGAACUUCAUCUCCAUGCUCUUUGCCAACGUCCCCUCCGGCUUCGUCUCCCUCAGCGUCCUCUCCUCCAGCUUCUUCCACUUCCACGUCCUCGAACACUUCGUCGAGUUCGGACAGCCACUUGUUGAACUCGACCUGAACUUCGGCCAGAUUCCUUCCUGCCUGAAUGCCUUCGGCCAUCCGAUCGCAUAACUCCUUGGAGUCCUCAUUGUAGCUGGUAUGGUUUUUUAAGGACUCCAAGGCCUCGGAGGAGAGGUGAGCUGCGGCCUCGUCAACGGCCGAUGUGAAGCCAAACAUGAAGUUAGGCGUAAGUAGUUGGCCGAGGUCCUUGAUGAAGGCCUCGGACUUCCGAAAAGCGUCUACGGCCGAGGCUCCGGCACCCUCGAGAGCUUGCUCGUGGGACGCCUUCACCUCGUCCCCCCUCUUCUGCUCCUCUUCGAGGGCCGAUCGGAGACUGUUGAUAGUAGCCGCGGCCUCCUCAUCCUUCACCUCGGCCUCCUUAAGCCGCCUUUCAAGCUCGGCCUUUUCAGACUCAGACACCAACUGUUUUUUCUCCAACUUGGAGAUUUGAUUCUGCAACUUGCCGGUGUCCUGUUCCUCGACCAGAGCACAGUAGCGGUGUGCCAUCUCGGCCACAAAGGCCGAGGUGGAAGCUGUGGACACCAUGAGACUUUGAACCAUCUCGGCCGGGCUCAGCUUCUUCAUGAACUCCAAGUCCCUCGGCAAGGGGGAGUGCAUCACUAGUUCUUGGGCAACUCGAGGAUGCUGGCACCUGUCGUUGACCGAAAUUUUCCAGUCCGGACACCAAUGCCCGCCGGGGUGCGUCUUAUCGUCUCCGGGAAACACUGGGGGGCUAUGGAAACGAUUCCAUAGCGAGGUCCCCGACACCGGAUUAACUGGAGGCUUCAGCUGCUUGCCUCGGCCAGGAGGAGGUGUGACUGUUGUAACAACUCCAAGGGGAACUCCCUCUGGCACAGACGAGGUGGACCCCGUAGCCGCCGUGGCCGAGCUGCUCUGGCCAACCUUGGUGGGAGUGCCUUUAGACGCCGAAGUCUUAGCGACUGGUCCUUGUGACUUCUUCUUCUUUGGCGAAGGUGCCGAUGUCUCGUCAGUGCUCUUCCUCUUCUGCCUCUUGGCCACUUCGGACGAGCCAGAGACGACGAGGUCGGACAGUUUAGUCACUGCACAAAAAUAAAUAUUAUCAUAUGUCUUAACCGAAGUGAAAGCAAAGCUACGAAAGAAAAAUUACAAGGUAUCUCAAGUUCGGUGGAAAGGAAGGAGGGCUUGGUAGUAUUGAUCACGGCUCGACUUAUCCCCCCAUCCACGAGCACGGCUUCAGGGUAGUCAUGGCUGAACAGCCGAAGUCCCGACUUCAUCAACUUCUGGAAGGAUUCCUCUUCGGCAUCCCCCGCAGAGGGGUCGGCCUUCGCCUUAAUUGCCCUCCACCAAAAACCCCUCGGGAAGUCCACUCCGGACACGAAGAAGUAGUCGCGCUUCCAGUUCUUGAUCGAGCUGGGAGCACCGAUCACCAACUUCGGGAUAGCAUUGUUUCGAUUGCCAACAUAAAACCAUCCUUUAUCCGUCCCGUGUGCCUUGAGAGUAUAGCAUCGGCGGAAGAGGUCGACGGAGGGAGUCACCUCCUGAUGUCGGCACAGCAUCUCGAACCCCACAAUGAUGCGGACCGCAUUCGGGGCAAGCUGGGUGAUCCUCACGUGGAAGUGACGAAGUACGUCCCGGAGGAACCUCGACGUCGGCAUCCUCAGCCCGGCCUCCAGCUGUUGAACGUAGACAGCCACCAUGCCAAAGGGGGGGUUCGCGGCUGUGUCAUUCGCCUCGGGCGGCAGAAUUUCGUACCCCAACCGGAAAGGGUACCUGUUUAUCACCUUCGUGGCCAUGUCCCUUCCUAUACGACUUCUAAACUUCGGCAUCUGACCGAAGUCGAUGUUGUCCACGUCCUUUGGAGCGACUGGCUCCAGGACACCCUCGUCAUGAGGUAUCUCGGUCCCGAGCUCGGUAUCGUAUUCGACCUCGGAACCACCCUCGCUGAUCUCGGACGACUCCAACUCCAAGCCCGUCACGUCGGCUCUCACCUCGGCUGAUCCUUCCUCAGAACCCUGCGUCGACCCCUCAGAGCUGGACGUCGUCGCUUCUUCCUCAGGAUCCGGCCUCACCUCGGUCUGGUAGCUCGGGGUCACAGUUUCUUUAUGGGUCUUAGCGGUUUUGGCCAUGAGUGAAAGACGAUAUGAAGAGAAAGAAAGAUACUUACUAUUGACUACGAUCUCGGACGAAGACGAUGACUUCGGCUGUGAUCUCGGCUAAUGGAUUGACUUCGGCUACACUCGCGAAUUUUGUAAGUUACAAGCGAAGAAAGAGAGUGAUGGGCCACACGAUGAAAGGGACCCCCUAUUUAUAGGGGAGAGCCAGAACCCGAAGAGGCAGCCAGAAUACGAAAAGGCGGCAACGAUUCGAAUUCAGGAUACCGUGUACCUGCCCUUCUGUCCAUCUCUCCUCAUUUAAUGCCCGUCCUUUCGGCUGACACCCUCUGCACGAAACGUCCCACCACUUCACGACGCGACGGUUACCUCUGACCACGUCCUGUCAACUGACUCGACCACGUGUCAAGUCCCCGCAUCUUCCGGAGCAGUCUCAGGACCCCGACUCUUCAUGACUUCGGCACAAGGAAGCCUCGGCACCUCUCAGUCCCGGAGCACCCGAGGCUUGGGGGGCUUAUUGAGGAUGCUCACCUCGGCCAUCCUGCGUGUCCGAGGUGAACUCACCUCGUCCCUUAUCAGAGCUCAUCCGUAUCUUGGGCAUAACCCCUGAGCUCGGCCACUUCCCUAGCCUACCGUGUAGGUGACCUCGGCACCACCCACUUCGGCCGCACGCUAAUGAGGUCACGGCCCCUGACAUCACCCAGGUCCAGUGCUUUAUCUGAAAAACACUGGAGACUCUUAAUGGAACCUGCUCAAUACUCUCCGUCAUCACACUCAGGCGGCUACAGUGUCAGAGUCAGGCCUCCUGACACGGGACAGAGCCGUAAUGACCAGAGAAUGGGUCCCACCAGCAUGAGCUCUCCGCUCUGUCCUCUACCCUCCUAUAAAUACCCCACAUACACUCCUAGCAAGUAAGCAUACACUGUUCAUUUGCUCAUACUCU
rnacentral:lncRNA from 1 species